CUCAAAGGAGCAGUAUAGAGGACACAGUGCAUGUGGUUCAUUGUUAUAUAUUGUUAUAUACCCAAAAUGAAGACUGACAGCAACAAAAUGCAGAGUAUAAUAAAGCGUUUAGUAGUCGAGUAAAGAGAAGGAAGAGUCAAAGCGUUUUGAAUGUUGGGAUUUCCUGGAUUUACCUCCAUUGGAUGGACUGAACCACAACAACAGCGAGUCAUCAGAGAGGUGGGCCUCCGAGUGUGCUUUGACCCUGAGGGCCGAAUGCGGGUCCCAUUAUACAAGUCAGAGGUCAGCUCGCUGCUCGAGGCUAGUUGGCCUCGGUGGUGCUUAGAUAUGCAUAUCCCAUGAAUCACGGCUAAUCAGGGUAAUUAUGCGUGAAUUUUGACAUGUGUGGCCAUCAAAGGGAUUAGCAUUUCUACGUGUUUUUUGUUUUAACUGGUGUUUGAGCCCCGUGCUUACUUAUUAAACUGCAGUGUGAUGAAAUAGUAAAAAAAAACAAAAUGCCAUUUAUCUUAACACGGGCCUCUAUUAUUAUCAACAGUAGGAGGAAACACAUGAUAAUUUGUUUCUGCCCGAAAACAGAUGACAAACACACUCAAUACACAUUCAAGGCACGUUUUCAUGCGGUGUCUCUGCCUCUCAUCGGGGACAUAAUCAGAACCAGAUGGUGUCAGUCUCUAACCUUUGACGACCUCUUUUCUCCAUGAACACAAGAAGGAGCGAUAAGGUCCGGGGAGUUGCUCCCCAGUCGGCUGGGGGAGGAAAAACUCAGAAGGAGGUCAUACAGUACGACGGGCCAGAUGAGGCCGUGAAAUCCCUGUGGUCUGUUAAUCAACACGGGGGGAAACAAAAGGCGAUGCAUCAUGGAUGACGGUCUUGGGAGAUAACCACAGUCUGCAACACUGCAGCGGGUUUGACAACGUGAUAACAUGAGAUCUCAAUAAACAUUUUGGAAAGGCUGGUUUAUCGUCACAGUACAGUCUGUGUAUUCGUUUUGGAUGUUUUCACAUCACGAAUGUGUGUCCUCUCUUCAACGGUAUUCAAGGAUAAUGUUGACAUUAUUAUUUUGUAGGUCAGGAAAUAGAAAUGC
ensembl:lncRNA